rnacentral:rRNA from 1 species
CCUACGGGAGGCAGCAGUGAGGAAUAUUGGUCAAUGGACGAGAGUCUGAACCAGCCACGUAGCGUGAAGGAUGAAUGCCCUAUGGGUUGUAAACUUCUUUUAUAUGGGAAUAAAAUGUUCCACGUGUGGGAUUUUGUAUGUACAAUAUGAAUAAGGAUCGGCUAACUCCGUGCCAGCAGCCGCGGGAAUACGGAGGAUCCGAGCGUUAUCCGGAUUUAUUGGGUUUAAAGGGAUCGUAGGUGGAUUGUUAAGUCAGUUGUGAAAGUUUGGGGCUCAACCGUAAAAUUGCAGUUGAAGCUGGCAGUCUUGAGUACAGUAGAGGUGGGCGGAAUUCGUGGUGUAGCGGUGAAAUGCUUAGAUAUCACGAAGAACUCCGAUUGCGAAGGCAGUUCACUGGACUGCAACUGACACUGAGGCACGAAAGUGUGGGUAUCAAACAGGAUUAGAUACCCGAGUAGUC